UUGAUACGUGUCUCCAGUGGCUUUAAGAAGCUUUGGUGUGCGGUAAAAGCAGUGCAGAUCUGUGUAGCCAAAACGCCUGGAGCUAUUAGGGCAGCAUUUACUGUAUUUUGUAUCCUGCUAUUGGAGAUUGGUUCCAGCCCCCCAUCAGGGACUGGAAAUGUUCCUGCUUCCCUGUUACUUAACAGGACAGAGCUGCUCACUGCUGCUUUCUCUUCCUGCUGUUUUUAUCCGAGCGAAUCGAUCUGCCGCAAAACAUAAUCCGUCUCCCGUGUGCGAGCGCGUGUCUUUUUUUUUUUGUUGUGCUAAGUCAUUCUUUCAGCCCUCCUCCCUGGAGCACCGCUACCUUGCUCGAGCAACUGGCGCGGCCCUUCUUCCGUCCGGAGGUCGGGAGCGCCGACGACAAGGAGCAUAGAUCGAAAUUCCACGCGGGUGAAAAAAAACCACGCGUUUCCGAAGGCCGGCUCUCACUUUCGCUUGGUUUUCGCUUUUGGUUUGCGUUGUAUGCGGAGCGACGUCCGGCUCAACAGGACUAGACCAGCUCAGCCGACUCAACGGAGCUCGCGGUAGGAUGAUACCGUGUUGGCUACGGCCACCUCUGAUCAUCAGUCACCGAGGUUGCUCAAGAUUGUAAAGAGAGCCCCGAAAUGGUAGCUGCCCAGAGUGUCUCAAGGACAGUGUAUCAUGUGGUGAUGCAGGUCCAGCGUUUACCAGAAGAUUAGUCGGACCCUGUGGCGACUUCCUCCUGCUGCUUUCGCAGCUCCAGCCGGAGACAUGGCGGAGAUGCAAGGGGGAGCUGCGUGCGAAGGCUCGGGGAGAAGAUCGGACCCGUCGUCCACGAGCCGCAGAGGACGGUGGC